AUCUGUGGAAAGAGGAUUCGUCCAAUUGAAGCAGAGGACAGUGGCGGACGGGUGAGUAACGCGUGAGGAACCUGCCUUUCAGAGGGGGACAACAGUUGGAAACGACUGCUAAUACCGCAUGACACAUAGGUGUCGCAUGGCACUUAUGUCAAAGAUUUAUCGCUGAAAGAUGGCCUCGCGUCUGAUUAGCUAGUUGGUGAGGUAACGGCCCACCAAGGCGACGAUCAGUAGCCGGACUGAGAGGUUGAACGGCCACAUUGGGACUGAGAUACGGCCCAGACUCCUACGGGAGGCAGCAGUGGGGAAUAUUGGGCAAUGGGCGCAAGCCUGACCCAGCAACGCCGCGUGAAGGAAGAAGGCUUUCGGGUUGUAAACUUCUUUUGUCAGGGACGAGUAGAAGACGGUACCUGACGAAUAAGCCACGGCUAACUACGUGCCAGCAGCCGCGGUAAUACGUAGGUGGCAAGCGUUGUCCGGAUUUACUGGGUGUAAAGGGCGUGUAGCCGGGAGGGCAAGUCAGAUGUGAAAUCCACGGGCUCAACUCGUGAACUGCAUUUGAAACUACUCUUCUUGAGUAUCGGAGAGGCAAUCGGAAUUCCUAGUGUAGCGGUGAAAUGCGUAGAUAUUAGGAGGAACACCAGUGGCGAAGGCGGAUUGCUGG
rnacentral:rRNA from 1 species